rnacentral:rRNA from 1 species
UACGAAGGGGGCUAGCGUUGCUCGGAAUCACUGGGCGUAAAGGGUGCGUAGGCGGGUUUUUAAGUCAGGGGUGAAAUCCUGGAGCUUAACUCCGAAACUGCAUUCGAUACUGCGGUGCUUGAGGACUGGAGAGGAGACUGGAAUUCAUGGUGUAGCAGUGAAAUGCGUAGAGAUCAUGAGGAAGACCAGUGGCGAAGGCGGGUCUCUGGACAGUUCCUGACACUGAGACACGAAGGCCAGGGGAGCAAACGGG